rnacentral:sRNA from 19 species
CAUCGGCGCACUAACAAGCCGUUGUCUGGAUUUUUCGGCUCGUCCCCCGCCGCUUCCAGACGAAGGACAAGGGCCUCCCCGCCCCCUCUUAUGGUCCUUGUCCUGCCAAUAUGCCGCCAUGGCCCUUCCCCUCCGGCCAUGGCGGCUUUUC